rnacentral:rRNA from 1 species
AGAGUUUGAUUAUGGCUCAGGAUGAACGCUAGCGAUAGGCCUAACACAUGCAAGUCGAGGGGCAGCACAUGAAGUAGCAAUACGGAUGGUGGCGACCGGCGCACGGGUGAGUAACGCGUAUGCAACCUGCCUACAACAGGGGAAUAACCCGUUGAAAGACGGACUAAUACCCCAUAACACAGGGAUCCCGCAUGGGAAUAUUUGUUAAAGAUUUAUCGGUUGUAGAUGGGCAUGCGUUCCAUUAGCUUGUUGGUGAGGUAACGGCUCACCAAGGCAACGAUGGAUAGGGGAACUGAGAGGUUUAUCCCCCACACUGGUACUGAGACACGGACCAGACUCCUACGGGAGGCAGCAGUGAGGAAUAUUGGUCAAUGGACGCAAGUCUGAACCAGCCACGUCGCGUGAAGGAAGACGGCCCUACGGGUUGUAAACUUCUUUUGUAAGGGAAUAAAGUGUAGUACGUGUACUAUUUUGCAUGUACCUUACGAAUAAGGAUCGGCUAACUCCGUGCCAGCAGCCGCGGUAAUACGGAGGAUCCGAGCGUUAUCCGGAUUUAUUGGGUUUAAAGGGUGCGCAGGCGGGAGAUUAAGUCGGCGGUGAAAUUUUGCAGCUCAACUGUAAAAGUGCCUUCGAAACUGGUUUCCUUGAGUGUGGAUGAGGUAGGCGGAAUUUGUGGUGUAGCGGUGAAAUGCAUAGAUAUCACGAGGAACUCCGAUUGCGCAGGCAGCUUACUAAACCAUAACUGACGCUCACGCACGAAGGCGUGGGGAUCAAACAGGAUUAGAUACCCUGGUAGUC